GCCCUCUCAGGGUCACACCUGGAGAGUUUCCACUAUUCUACCAGUCUCGACUAGAGGAGGGAGAGUCAAGCAGAGGCCUGUCCAUUCCAUUCCUAGCUGGGGCAGUUGCUAGCGAGUGGAAGGUCAUCUGCUACAAGU